UACAGAGGGCGCGAGCGUUGUCCGGAAUCACUGGGCGUAAAGGGCGCGCAGGCGGCUGCUCAAGUCGGGCGUGAAAGGCCUGGGCUCAACCCGGGAAUUGCGCUUGAGACUGGGCUGGCUUGAGUGCGGGAGAGGAUGGUGGAAUUCCCAGUGUAGAGGUGAAAUUCGUAGAUAUUGGGAAGAACACCGGUGGCGAAGGCGGCCAUCUGGACCGCAACUGACGCUGAGGUGCGAAAGCGUGGGGAGCAAACAGG
rnacentral:rRNA from 1 species